GCACCCCGUGCACCAGGCACAACGUCGCGCCGGACCCGCCUCCCGGGACUCCUAAAGCGGGUGUCGGCAGUUCGAAUCUGCCCGGGGGCACCA
rnacentral:tRNA from 1 species